GAGUUUGAUCAUGGCUCAGGAUGAACGCUAGCGACAGGCUUAACACAUGCAAGUCGAGGGGCAGCAUGGGCUUAGCUUGCUAAGUCCGAUGGCGACCGGCGCACGGGUGAGUAACGCGUAUCCAACCUGCCCAUUACUCCGGGAUAGUCUUCUGAAAGGAAGUUUAAUACCGGAUGUUGUUAUGUAUACUCAUGUAUACGUACCCAAAGAGUUAUCGGUAAUGGAUGGGGAUGCGUUCCAUUAGUUAGUUGGCGGGGUAACGGCCCACCAAGACGACGAUGGAUAGGGGUUCUGAGAGGAAGGUCCCCCACAUUGGAACUGAGACACGGUCCAAACUCCUACGGGAGGCAGCA
rnacentral:rRNA from 1 species